AACUGAUACAGCAUUCAUUCAGCGAAUUUGAGAUGUGAUGUACAAGGGUUCAGGGUGAUGAAAAAUGAAGCUGGAGAGGUUGGUAGAAGCAGCCUCAUAAAAACCUUGUUAAAAGGUUUGAUAUGUAUCCUGACAGCUGUGGAGAGCUAGCAAAGAGAUUUAAGCAGGAAACUUGAUGCAUGUCCUUUGAGGAGCAUCAUUCUGUGUGCAUGUGAAAGACUCCAUUGGAAGGGCAAGCCUGGAGUCCGGGCAUGCAGACAGGAGGCAGAGAUGUCAGAGAUGUAUUCCCCUGCAGCCAGGUAACCAGGCAUGGGGAAGAGUAGGUGGAUUUGUGAAAUAUGGAGGUGGUGACUCUACAGGAUAGCUACAUUUGUUACUGAUUGGAAAUGUUUAUUUAUCCAACCCUCUAAAUUAGACAGUACUGAAAAUGGCCCAGUCGCUGAGGCAUGAUCUAUUAAAGUGUUAUGUUACUGAUAACAGUAAAGAAGCACAAUGUUUCAUUUAAUGCACAGAGAGCCCUGCGAACGAUGCAGGUUCCAGUCAGCGACGUCUUUGCUGAGAUUUAUCUUCACCAAGAUGCACCUUGGGCCCCCAGCAAGGACCUAGGGAGAUGUUCGGCAUUCAGACCCCAAGAAGAAGGGAGGCCCAAGGCUGGGGACUCUGCCAAGUAAAGGAGGCCGAGGAGGCCCUGAGGCUUAUGAUGUCUGAGGGAGUGGGGCAUGAAAGAGGGAUAAGACAGAAGACCUAGGGAUGCUGAAUGGAGCCAGGAGGCAGUGUAUAGAACACCCUUGACAUAAGUGACUCCAUCUUAGAAAAAGACUCCAUCUUACAUUUCAAAAGGUGUCAAGCCAAAAGGGUCCAAAUAUUCACCCAACCAAUAGAGACCACACCCAACCAGAUAAGGGCAUAACCCUUCACUAUCAGUCCUCAUUAGAGGACUCAAAGGCUAUCAAAAGAGCCAGACUUCACUAGCUAGACGUGGCCAUCUCAACAGGCACCUCUUGCUGUCACUUGUGAUCACUCUCCUCGGACUGGUUCAUUAAUCCUUUUUCCUGCACCCUUUUCUCUUGAUGUUAAAUCAAAUUAUGUUGACAAAAAGCUGUACUGGAGAUCACAUUAACUAGCUCUACAAUGUAUUUCAACAGGUGAGUUUUGGAUUUAAAUGAGGCCCAUCAAUGAUUAGCCAUCUGAUGACUGCCAUGCAUGGCCUGUGACACUGUCGUUCAGUGUGUGCUGUGAGAUAACUCUCCAUGGGUUUCUUGGGUUUCCGCACACCUUACAAAUAGAAUCGCUGACUGCUUUUUUAUUCUGAGCUACUUUUCCCAGAAUGUUUCUCUAGUGAACAGCCUUUGAAGAUUGAGAUCGUGUUUUCCUGGAGCAAUGGUCAGUCAUGACUACAGCCCGGGGCCUAAGGUCAAAGUCUCAUCCUGGAAUGCAACCAGUAUGUGUGCUGAUGUUACAUGGUCCUCUUUGUGUCACCCUAGAAGAACUGGAACUCAAGGAACCAGUACAACAAAAGCCGAUUCUCUGGGAACCUCCAGGGCUGCCAGAGUCUUCAGUGAAUCCAUGAUGCAGGGUCCAGGGAGAGUCCACACGACGGCAGUGGCCUGUGGUGCACAGGAUCACUGAUGGCUCUCUGAAGCUCUCCUGGGGUGGAAGGUUACAGAUGGUUCUCAGACAGCUACUGGAGGGCAAGAGUCCUGUCCUUGAAGUCUGUAUCCUCCGUCGUUAGCACAGCGUGUGGAACGAAGGGAGACUGGUGAAUCCAGGUGAAUACAAAUGAAGGAAGACCUGCUUCACCGGAAGAGCAACACGCAAAGCAUCGACACAUCGGCGACAGUUGGGCAAAGAUUUUACAGGAAGCGUGACAUUGGCAUCUGCCUGGUUUCUAGGGAGGCCUCAGGAAGCUUGCAAUCAUGGCGGAAGAUGAAGCGGGAGCAGGCGUGUUACAUGAUGAAAGCAGAAGCAAGUGAGAGACUGGGAGGGAGGCACCACACACUUUUAAAUGACCAGAUCUGGUGAGAAGGCACUCACUGUCGUGAAGACAGCACCAAGCCAUGAGGGAUCUGCCCCAUGAUCCAAACACCUCCCACCAAGCCCUACCUCCAGCACUGGGGAUCACAAUUCAACAUGAGAUUUGGGUGGGGACAAAUAUCCAAACUAUAUCAGAAGGGCUGUGCUAUCUUGGGAAAGCUACCAUCCAGAUUUCUUAGCUUUUCUUAAUGUCCAGGAAAACCAAACUGGCAGAAUCUAGUGAGAGAGACGUGUAUAAUUGGCUGCACUGGGCACUUUCUUUAUUCAUGUGCUGUUUUGGGGGAAGUCAGCUAUAAAGAAGAAGCACAGAACUUAAUGAAAAUAAAGGCAUCCAUGCU
rnacentral:lncRNA from 1 species